rnacentral:rRNA from 1 species
UACGGAGGGAGCUAGCGUUGUUCGGAAUUACUGGGCGUAAAGCGCACGUAGGCGGCUUUGUAAGUUAGAGGUGAAAGCCCGGGGCUCAACUCCGGAACUGCCUUUAAGACUGCAUCGCUUGAAUCCAGGAGAGGUGAGUGGAAUUCCGAGUGUAGAGGUGAAAUUCGUAGAUAUUCGGAAGAACACCAGUGGCGAAGGCGGCUCACUGGACUGGUAU